GACGAACCGUGCAAACGUUGUUCGGAAUCACUGGGCUUAAAGGGCGCGUAGGCGGGCAAGCAAGUCCGGGGUGAAAUCCUUCAGCUUAACUGGAGAAGUGCCUCGGAUACUGCUGGUCUUGAGCGAGGUAGGGGAUGCUGGAACUUCCGGUGGAGCGGUGAAAUGCGUUGAGAUCGGAAGGAACGCCCGUGGCGAAAGCGAGGUCCUGGACGUCUACUGACGCUGAGACGCGAAAGCUAGGGGAGCAAACGGG
rnacentral:rRNA from 1 species